GACGGAGGGUGCUAGCGUUGUUCGGAAUGACUGGGCGUAAAGGGCGCGUAGGCGGCUCGUGAAGUCGGGUGUGAAAGCCCGGGGCUCAACCCCGGAACGGCAUCCGAUACUGGCGGGCUUGAGACCGGGAGAGGAGGGUGGAAUACCCAGUGUAGAGGUGAAAUUUGUAGAUAUGGGGAGGAACACCGGUGGCGAAGGCGACCAUCUGGACGGAUACUGACGCUGAGACGCGAAAGCGUGGGGAGCAAACAGG
rnacentral:rRNA from 1 species